CCUACGAGUGGCAGCAGUGAGGAAUAUUGGUCAAUGGACGAGAGUCUGAACCAGCCAAGUAGCGUGAAGGAUGACUGCCCUAUGGGUUGUAAACUUCUUUUAUAUGGGAAUAACAUGUUCAGCGUGUGGGAGUUUGUAGGUACAAAAUGAAAAAGAUUAGGCCAACUCCGGGCCAGCAGCCGGGGAAAUACGGAGGAUCCGAGCGUUAUCCGGAUUUAUUGGGUUUAAAGGGAGCGUAGGUGGAUUGUUAAGUCAGUUGUGAAAGUUUGCGGCUAAACCGUAAAAUUGCAGUUGAAACUGGCAGUCUUGAGUACAGUAGAGGUGGGCGGAAUUCGUGGUGUAGCGGUGAAAUGCUUAGAUAUCACGAAGAACUCCGAUUGCGAAGGCAGCUCACUGGACUGCAACUGACACUGAGGCUCGAAAGUGUGGGUAUCAAACAGGAUUAGAUACCCGAGUAGUC
rnacentral:rRNA from 1 species